rnacentral:lncRNA from 1 species
CAGCAGUUUCCCAGAAUGCUGUUUUAACAAACACAGCCACAUCUAUAAAGAUAUGACCGCUUUAAACAGGUUUCUUUCCAUCUAAUGGUUUAUUUUAAUUUACUUUUAAAGGCCAUGUACUGUGUUUAGAAUUGAUUUUCUUAAUUGUAAAUAAAGUGUGAGUGCAAACUAAACGAUGUUUCCAGAGACAACAAUAAAGUCUUUUAAAAACA